UACGGGGGGUGCAAGCGUUAUUCGGAAUUAUUGGGCGUAAAGGGCGCGUAGGCGGCCUAGUAAGUCAGAUGUGAAAGCCCGGGGCUCAACCCUGGAAGUGCAUUUGAUACUGGUAGGCUUGAGUAUGGGAGAGGGAAGUGGAAUUCCUGGUGUAGAGGUGAAAUUCGUAGAUAUCAGGAGGAACACCGGUGGCGAAGGCGACUUCCUGGACCAAUACUGACGCUGAGGCGCGAAGGCGUGGGGAGCAAACAGGAUUAGAUACCCGUAGUA
rnacentral:rRNA from 1 species